rnacentral:rRNA from 1 species
UAUUGGACAAUGGGCGCAAGCCUGAUCCAGCCAUGCCGCGUGAGUGACGAAGGUCUUCGGAUUGUAAAGCUCUUUUGGCGGGGACGAUAAUGACGGUACCCGCAGAAUAAGCCCCGGCUAACUUCGUGCCAGCAGCCGCGGUAAUACGAAGGGGGCUAGCGUUGUUCGGAAUUACUGGGCGAAAGCGCACGUAGGCGGAUUUGUAAGUCAGGGGUAAAUCCCGGGGCUCAACCUCGAACUGCCUUUAUACUGCAAGUCUCAGCCGAAGGGGUAGUGAAUUCCAGUGAAGGUAAAUUCGAGUUAGAAGACACCAGUGCAAGCGCUACUGGCCGGUCUGCGUGCGUGAAAUCG